rnacentral:rRNA from 1 species
UACGGAGGGGGCUAGCGUUGUUCGGAAUUACUGGGCGUAAAGCGCACGUAGGCGGCUAUUCAAGUCAGAGGUGAAAGCCCGGGGCUCAACCCCGGAACUGCCUUUGAAACUAGAUAGCUAGAAUCUUGGAGAGGUCAGUGGAACUCCGAGUGUAGAGGUGAAAUUCGUAGAUAUUCGGAAGAACACCAGUGGCGAAGGCGGCUCACUGGUCCGGUACUGACGCUGAGGUGCGAAAGCGUGGGGAGCAAACAGG